GGGGGGGGGGCGGUUGUGUGCCGGUUGUGUGCCCCUUUUUCUGCGGCUCACCAGGGCAGAAGCAGCUCCCCGCCGCAAGGACCCCUGUGGGGUUUGUUGCCGAGCGAAGGUGGCGCAUUGGCUAAACGGAGGAAAGCUGCAGCUGGCGUGCUGCAGUCGCAGGUUUCCCAGGAGAAAGAGCAGCCCGUCUGUCCAGGCCCCCGGACACAACCGAGGACCCACCCCGGUGACGCCCGGCGUGCUCCCGUGUGCCCUGAGCACCCACCACGGAGAACCCCGGCCUGCCCCCGAGCAGCCCAUAGGAACCACCCCGGUGACCCCCGGACCCAGCCCAGUGACCCCUGGCGGGCCCCCGUGCGCCCCAUAGGACCCAACCCGAUGACCCCCGGCGAGCAUCCUGGUACCCCAUAGGACACACGCCAGUGACCCCUGGCAGGACCCCGGGCGCCCCAUAGAACCUACACCAGUGACCUCCGGCGUGCCCCCAGGGGCUGCGUAGGACCCACACCAGUGACCCCCGACGGUGUGUGCGCCCCAUAGGACC
rnacentral:lncRNA from 1 species